rnacentral:rRNA from 1 species
AGCGAACGCUGGCGGCAGGCCUAAUACAUGCAAGUCGAACGGAUCCUUCGGGAUUAGUGGCGGACGGGUGAGUAACACGUGGGAACGUGCCCUUUGGUUCGGAACAACUCAGGGAAACUUGAGCUAAUACCGGAUAAGCCCUUCGGGGAAGGAUUAUCGCCAUUGGAGCGGCCCGCGUCUGAUUAGCUAGUUGGUGGGGUAAAGGCCUACCAAGGCGACGAUCAGUAGCUGGUCUGAGAGGANGAUCAGCCACACUGGGACUGAGACACGGCCCAGACUCCUACGGGAGGCAGCAGUAGGGAAUCUUGCGCAAUGGGCGGAAAGCCUGACGCAGCGACGCCGCGUGAGGGAUGACGGCCUCGGUUG